rnacentral:rRNA from 1 species
ACCCGCUGAACUUAAGCAUAUCAAUAAGCGGAGGAAAAGAAACUAACAAGGAUUCCCCUAGUAACGGCGAGUGAAGCGGGAAGAGCUCAAAUUUGAAAUCUGGUAGCCUUCGGUUGCCCGAGUUGUAAUCUAGAGAAGUGUUUUCCGUGCCGGCCCAUGUACAAGUCCCUUGGAACAGGGCGUCAUAGAGGGUGAGAAUCCCGUCCUUGACAUGGACCCCCGGUGCUUUGUGAUACACUUUCAACGAGUCGAGUUGUUUGGGAAUGCAGCUCAAAAUGGGUGGUGAAUUCCAUCUAAAGCUAAAUAUUGGCGAGAGACCGAUAGCGAACAAGUACCGUGAGGGAAAGAUGAAAAGCACUUUGGAAAGAGAGUUAAACAGUACGUGAAAUUGUUGAAAGGGAAACGAUUGAAGUCAGUCAUGCUCUUAGGAUUCAGCCGUUCUGCGGUGUAUUUCCUUUGAGUGGGGUCAACAUCAGUUUUGAUCGAUGGAUAAAGGCACGAGGAAGGUAGCACUCUCGGGUGAACUUAUAGCCUCGCGUCAUAUACAUUGAUUGGGACUGAGGAACGCAGCAUGCCUUUAUGGCCGGGAUUCGUCCACGUACAUGCUUAGGAUGUUGACAUAAUGGCUUUAAACGACCCGUCUUGAAACACGG